rnacentral:rRNA from 1 species
CGAGCGAGAAAGUGGAGCAAUCCAUGAGUAAAGCGGCGUACGGGUGAGUAACACGUGGAUGAUCUACCUUUUAGUGGGGGAUAACCCUGGGAAACCGGGGCUAAUACCGCAUAAGCCUGUAAAGGGAAAGCAGCAAUGCGCUGAAAGAGGAGUCCGCGGCCGAUUAGCUAGUUGGUGAGGUAACGGCCCACCAAGGCGAUGAUCGGUAGCCGGCCUGAGAGGGCACACGGCCACACUGGCACUGAAACACGGGCCAGACUCCUACGGGAGGCAGCAGUGGGGAAUCUUGCACAAUGGGGGCAACCCUGAUGCAGCGACGCCGCGUGAGCGAUGAAGCCCUUCGGGGUGUAAAGCUCUUUCGGCAGGGACGAUAAUGACGGUACCUGAAGAAGAAGCUGCGGCUAACUACGUGCCAGCAGCCGCGGUAAUACGUAGGCAGCGAGCGUUGUUCGGAAUUACUGGGCGUAAAGAGUGUGUAGGCGGUGCUCUAAGUUCGGUGUGAAAUCUCCUGGCUUAACUGGGAGGGUGCGCCGGAAACUGGAGUGCUCGAGCGUGGGAGAGGAAAGCGGAAUUCCUGGUGUAGCGGUGAAAUGCGUAGAUAUCAGGAGGAACACCUGCGGUGUAGACGGCUUUCUGGACCAUUG